rnacentral:rRNA from 1 species
UACGUAGGGUGCGAGCGUUGUCCGGAAUUAUUGGGCGUAAAGGGCUCGUAGGCGGUCUGUUGCGUCAGGAGUGAAAACUCGGGGCUUAACCCCGAGCCUGCUUCUGAUACGGGCAGACUAGAGGUAUGCAGGGGAGAACGGAAUUCCUGGUGUAGCGGUGAAAUGCGUAGAUAUCAAGAGGAACACCUGAGGUGAAGACGGGUUGCUGGGCCAACACUGACGCUGAUGCGCGAAAGCCAGGGGAGCAAACGGG